GUUACUCUUAAAUAAGAGUCACAUCAUAAUUAGAUUGCGGAAUCCCUAUUUACCAGUCUUUGAGAGCGAUAAGCGAUUGAUAGAAACUGAUAAAUUGAUUUGGUUUCCUGCCAAAAAUCCUGCCAAAAAUUCUUUGGCAGGAUUUUUGUU
rnacentral:sRNA from 17 species